GGCGUGGUGCUCGAAUGGCUAAGGGAGCGGUUUGCAAAACCGUGUCGUGUGGGUUCAAUUCCCACCCACGCCUCCA
rnacentral:tRNA from 3 species